AACCAAGCGAAAGGAGGUGAUCCAAUGUCUAGUGAGAUCCGCGCAGGCGGGAGUGACUUUGGGUAUGAGGUGAUUUUGACGGGGCAGCCCUCGCCAAGAUGAACAUCCCUCCGAACCGCUUGGAUUAGCGGUUCAGUCACCACCGAGUGACGGUAUCAUGGAAGGACUGCUCGCUUUGUCGGGCAGUCCU
rnacentral:sRNA from 1 species